rnacentral:rRNA from 1 species
GACGUAGGGCGCGAGCGUUGUCCGGAUUUACUGGGCGUAAAGGGCGCGUAGGCGGAUAGUUUAGUCAGAGGUGAAAGCCCAGGGCUCAACCUUGGAAUUGCCUUUGAUACUGGCUAUCUUGAGUUCGGGAGAGGUGAGUGGAAUGCCGAGUGUAGAGGUGAAAUUCGUAGAUAUUCGGCGGAACACCAGUGGCGAAGGCGACUCACUGGCCCGAUACUGACGCUGAGGCGCGAAAGCGUGGGGAGCAAACAGG